rnacentral:tRNA from 1 species
UUAUAUUUAGUUUAUUAAAACAAUGAUUUGUGGUAUCAUAAAUACUAAUAUAUU